rnacentral:rRNA from 1 species
UACAGAGGGGGCCAGCGUUAUUCGGAAUUAUUGGGCGUAAAGGGCUCGUAGGCGGUCUGUUGCGUCGGGAGUGAAAACUCAGGGCUUAACCCUGAGCCUGCUUCCGAUACGGGCAGACUAGAGGUAUGCAGGGGAGAACGGAAUUCCUGGUGUAGCGGUGAAAUGCGCAGAUAUCAGGAGGAACACCGGUGGCGAAGGCGGUUCUCUGGGCAUUACCUGACGCUGAGGAGCGAAAGUGUGGGGAGCGAACAGG